GGGGGUGGCCCUCAGUCUUCCCAGCAUGGUCAAGCAAGGAAAUCUUGCCAAGAAAAUCUCAUGAUAGGUUUGCCAUAUGUUGGAAACGAUUUGAAUGCACACAUCAUCAAUAAGAGCAAGAACAACAGCAGUGGAGGACAUCACUAAGAAUCAUCGGGUGCCAGAAAAAUAUCCAUUGUGGCUGGAAGACUGGUACUGCAAAUCCGUGUAAAUUUGACAGUGAAAAUACUUAUUAUUGCCUAGAAGGAACAAUGGAAAUACAU
rnacentral:lncRNA from 11 species